rnacentral:tRNA from 1 species
GGGCGCGUAGUUCAGGGGUAGAACGCCACUCUUAUAAAGUGGAAGUCCUUGGUUCGAAUCCAAGCGCGCCCA